GCCAGACUCCUACGGGAGGCAGCAGUGGGGGAUAUUGCACAAUGGGGGAAACCCUGAUGCAGCGACGCCGCGUGGGCGAAGAAGUAUUUCGGUAUGUAAAGCCCUAUCAGCAGGGAAGAAGAAAUGACGGUACCUGAGUAAGAAGCACCGGCUAAAUACGUGCCAGCAGCCGCGGUAAUACGUAUGGUGCAAGCGUUAUCCGGAUUUACUGGGUGUAAAGGGAGCGUAGACGGCAUGGCAAGCCAGAUGUGAAAUACCGGGGCUCAACCCCGGGACUGCAUUUGGAACUGUUAAGCUGGAGUGUCGGAGAGGCAGGCGGAAUUCCUAGUGUAGCGGUGAAAUGCGUAGAUAUUAGGAGGAACACCAGUGGCGAAGGCGGCCUGCUGGACGAUAACUGACGUUGAGGCUCGAAAGCGUGGGGAGCAAACAGGAUUAGAUACCCCAGUA
rnacentral:rRNA from 1 species